rnacentral:rRNA from 1 species
GUGAGGAAUAUUGGGCAAUGGGCGAAAGCCUGACCCAGCCACGCCGCGUGAGUGAUGAAGGCCUUCGGGUUGUAAAGCUCUGUGGGGAGGGAAGAAAAAGCGGGAGAGUAACUGCUCUCGUGUUGACGGUACCUCCUUAGCAAGCACCGGCUAACUCUGUGCCAGCAGCCGCGGUAAUACAGAGGGUGCAAACGUUGCUCGGAAUUACUGGGCGUAAAGCGCGUGUAGGCUGACAUGCAAGUCGGGUGUGAAAUCCCAGGGCUCAACCUUGGAACUGCACUCGAAACUGCACGUCUUGAGUACUGGAGAGGGAAGCGGAAUUCCGGGUGUAGAGGUGAAAUUCGUAGAUAUCCGGAGGAACACCAGUGGCGAAGGCGGCUUCCUGGACAGUAACUGACGCUGAGGAGCGAAAGCCAGGGGAGCGAACCGGAUUAGAAACCCUUGUAGUCC